UGGAAACUAUGCAUCAAUGUCUGGCAACUGAUGUCAGCAAAGACUUUCUGUAGACCUAUAUUCAGAUGAGAAGCCUCCCACAGUCUUUGUCAGUCCUGCUAAAGCAUUGUUUAAAUAGACUCCUUUAACUGAAUUGCUCCAUGUGCCUGUGUAUGUGAUCCCAGGUGAGGUCAUUCAUUUCAUAUAGAGAAUUUCUGUGAAGUUUUUGA